AUCUUUUAAUAAAGUAUAAUAUUAAUAAUAUCCAAAAAUUUCUCUUUUUUGAAGUAAUUAGAAUUUAUGGAAAUAUAUUAGAUAAUGAAAUGCUAGUAGUUAGGAAUAUUAAUUUAUUGAUAAUAACUAAUGCUAAUGGCAUUCUUUGUAAAUAUGUUCCAACUCUAAGAUUUAUUUCACAAAAUGACUGCAAAAAUAUAUAUGUAGAUUGGCAACAAUAUUAACUCAUUUGCUGUUUUUUUUUUCCUCUCACGUUUGUAAGGGUAAAUUGGUCAGAAAGUCAAUAAAAAAGUUGAAAAAGUGUUCACUCCCUCAAAAGUGUCUCAAACGUCCAAACUUCCUUUAUAAGUGUAUUAUAAUGGAACGUUCCCUUUAAAAAACCAACUAACACAAAAAACUUGUCUACCUAAAAUUCUAUAUAUAUAUAUACACGUGCAUGUGUAAGAUUAGAUUUACAUUUUCUAUUUUCUCUCUAUCAUGGGCAACAAUAAAUUAUCACCUCCCAACUUUAGUAAUGACAUUAACUCUCUCCACAUCGAUUAUGAAAAUGCUCUCAACCAUGUCGUUACAACAACUGUUUAAUACAUGGACAAACUACAUGACUAUCAAAAUUACAACUUCUCAGGCCCCAUUAAACAAGCCAUUUAUCUUCCAAGUGUCAAUGCAAAACAGAUAAUAAAAAGUUGCAUUUUCUAAAGAAAUGAUAUUGCAUUUGUGAAAGAGAUGAUAAAAAUAUACUAUAAUAUUUGAGAAAUAU
rnacentral:sRNA from 1 species